AGUUCUAGCGAUGCAUAACUUCAAUGCGAAACCAUACAACAGUACAGAGGAAAUGAAAAAAGCUCUCCUCCAAGCGAUGAAGCUCAGCUGGUUGGGGUAUCCCACCAACAGAUAGCGCCACCAGCUUUUUCGCUAUUUUUAGAAUGCAUGAGUCGUUUUCCGUCUGCUAAACGAAGUCUUUCUAUAUUCCGUUUAGGUAGAGUGCUUGAGUCGUUUAGAAGCCGUUUAGUGGUCGUUUAGUGGAUUUGUGGCACUUGGGAAGAGAGAAGAGAAACGUUGCAUGCAAUUAAAACACCACCCCCACGAGAGUGAGAGCUGUUAGUGGCAUCCCGGUCGCAUCGGUAAACACGAUACUCAUCUCCAAGCAGGAGAGCGGUGGGAAUUCAGGAAUCGAGCCAAGUUUCAGUGAGUACCAAUACAUCGUAUUCCGUUUCAAGAACCGACAAACGGAACUCAUCGGCUUUAAAAACGGCCACGCACAUUCUGAUAGUACACACUGAUACAAACCGCUCGAUCAGUGGGUGCUUGUUGCAUAGUGUUAGUAGACGCUGGGGUGUUGCAAUUGAGCGAGCUUAUCGUAGAAGGUGAGUGUAUUGUGUUUGUGUCGAAGGAUUUGCUCGAGCCGUAUGCGCAAAAUAUGGGUGCGCUACUGUAGUGCGGUUAAUUCGGAAAUUGAAAAAAAAUUGAACCAGUGUAGUUUGAAGUAUUUUUGAACGAGACGUGGACGGAAGAGUGGGUGAAGGGAGAGUGCAGUUCAUAUCGGUUGGUGAUUGUUCGGUUUGUGUUCGUGCGGGUUCAUGGAUAUGUGCAGGUGAGUAUGGGUUAUUGUGGGGAUUAUUGCGUUGGGUACAAGGCUGCUGUGGUGCCGGUGAGUGUUGAGUGCGAGGCUGUAGUGGUGCCGGUGUCUGCUGAGUACCCGGCAGGCAAUUGACGUUUCAUACUAGGGCGAGGGGUGUUGAAACGCAUGGAAGAGCAGGAAGAAACACGGACGAGCGGUGAUGAACUGCAACUAUGUGCGUGCAACAGCACCAAACGGCAUGUGACGACGUACAGUGUGUGGAUGUGUGUGUGAAAUUUUAGGCAGCGAAGAUGGAUCGAGGUUAUGUUUACAAAGUGAAAGAGUUUGAUGCAGAAGCGUCUUUGUGAUAAAAUGUAUUUUAGUUUCAUAUUUUCAGUGUUAAAGUUUGUAAUGUGAACUUAAAAGUAAUGAACAAUGGUGCUAUUCUCUUGUGUGCUGUUGGCGAAUAUUGAAGCGUUGAAAUAUUGAAGCUUCAUAUGUUAGUUUGUUGUGCUUAAUGUGAAGCAAAAAUAUGUGCUUAAGUGUUAUAAAUUAGAAAUAUUUAAACGUAUCCGUCUAAUGUUCGGUUGUACCCAUCUAAUUUUCAAUAUUUUUGGGUGUCCUUAUCGUUUACCAGGAGAAACAGAUUGGAGGUUAGAUACGUGCAGCUAUUUCGCCUCCACAGGUAUGUAUGUUAAUUAAAGUUGUUGUAUUUGUAAUUUUUCAUUACGCUGACAUUAAAUAACUAAUCGGAUAAAAUUUGCCGUUUAACAUUAAGAAUAAUCGAUGUUAUCAGUGUUCUUCAGUUGUGUUUCAAGCUGUCCGAAGGCACACAAAUCCGAUUCACCUCGUAUGCACCCAGCGGAUUUCAUGCGAAGGAUAUUGGAAAGCCAUCAAAGAAGUGGGCAUGAUGAGCAACAACCGGAAGCAUUUCGUACCAGGUGGAAAUUAUCUCAAGUUUGGGAAUUGAAGAUAGUUACGGCACACUGUGAACAUCGUUGUAAACAAUUGAUGGUAACAUUUAUAUUUAUAUAUUUAUAUAUAUGAAUGCAUGUGUUUAUCGAAUUAUUCAUUAAUUCGUUUAUUUAUUGAUUAGAGCAUUAGUUUAGUUACGGAACAGCUUAUCCCGGCCUUUCUCGGGUUUAGUUGCUGUUGCUUGACCGCGACGAUUGACACCAGAGUUUGUUAUGGUCGUAUUGUCGUCGUGUAAUCGUGUUAUUGCUGUUAACGUACUUUAUUUAUAUCUAUUAAGAUGCAACAGCAUUAUUUAUUUUCCGGAAUAUCGUUAGCGUUGUUCCUGCUAAUAAGACGGAAGACGUUUGAAAUUAGCACCUGUGUCAAUCGUCAAACGGUUGACAGUGGGCACUAAAGUACAAUAAAUGGUAGGAGCAAAAACGCGAUGGCUGUAACUGAUUUGCAAAAUGAAACCAACAGCCAUUUUACAUGUUUUAUCUUAAACAAGCAUUGCACCUGAAAGCUACCAAAGCAAAUGUGUAUUUCGUACCUCCUGAUUUGUGAUAGAAUAAAAGGUACAGUUCCAUUAAAACAGUCGAGCGAUUGAUUGAUCCAAAGUUUGAAACGUUUGUGUGGCUUGUGCUGUGUUUGUGAAAUUGUUGUUGUGAAAAUUAAGUGUGAAAAUGAUGAAAAGAAAGCGUGAAACAGGCUCCUUAUAUAAAAUUGCUCAAGCCGAUAACAAAAAGCUUGAGGCCGAGUUAUUUGGCGAAAGUAGUUCUUUUGGGAUGAGCAGCAACCCAUCAGCAAUUAAUGAAGAGGACAUUUGUGUGCAUGAUCUUCUCGUAUGUGGUCCUCAAGAUAUUGAUCAAGAAGAACACAACUAUGAUUGGAUAAAUAUCGAAGAGAUUGACAACAAUGAAGACUGCGAAAUUAUCAACGAUGACGUAUCCGAGAUAACGUUGGAAAAUGCACCGGAUUCCCCAAAGGAAGAUGAGCCAAUUGGGGAAGUUAUUAGAAACUGGGCUCUAAAAACAUAUCAGACGCACCAAGCACUCAACAGUUUAUUGGCUAUUUUGCAUGCACGAACCGAAUUUAACCUACCAAAAGAUGCGCGUACGCUACUUAGAACAAAGCAGUGUGGAAAGGAAAUAGUAUCGAUAGCUGGAGGAGAGUUUUGGUAUCCGGGAGUACGAUCGGUUCUCCACAACUAUUUCCGGUGAGUAAACAAUAAUAUUGUUUUAUUCAGGAGCAGGCCGUAUUGUUUAACAAGGCUGUUAAAAAUGACAAAAUCUAAUGCAUUUUUUUCUAUUUGCAGUGAUGUACAACCAACAGUAAAUGAGUUUUCUUUAAAUUUCUUUAUUGAUGGACUACCGUUGCACAAGAGCACCCGAAAACAGUUUUGGCCAAUACUGAUGAGCAUUCACGAAAUGCCAGAAGUUCCUGUGUUGAUGGUUGGCAAUUUUUAUGGGCAAUCUAAACCGAAGAGUUUAGAUGAAUACCUUCGUCCAAUCGUGGAGGAGCUCAAUGAGUUGAUAGAUAAUGGUAUAAAAAUAGCCAAAAAGACCAUCAAAAUAAUUAUUAGAGCAUUUAUCGCAGACGCACCUGCACGAGCGUUCAUAAAAGGUGUUGCCUAUUUCAAUCAUAAACUGGGAUGUCAGAGAUGUACAGUCGACGGACAAUUUAAUAAAAAAGCUCGAGUGAUGUAUUUUUCGAAGAUAGACGCACCAAGAAGAACGGAUGAAGAGUUUCGUGGCGAAAAGUAUGGUGACCACCACCGAGAAAGAACACCUCUACUGCAUCUAAAGACAAUCGAUAUCAUUCGAAAUAUUAUUAUCGCGGAUGUAUUGCAUUUGAUAGACUUUGGAAUAUCACGAACAUUAAUCGUCGGAUCGAAAUCAGGAAAGCUAAUAGGGCGCAGUUGGUCAUCGGAAACGCUGAAUUACAUAAAUUCGCUACUUCAAUAGGUGGAAAUUCCGCCUGAAUAUCAUCGCAAAUUCCGUCGAAUUGAAGACACUGGUUUAUGGAAAGCCAUUGAAUAUCACAUGUUUUUACAUUACGCCAGUUUUAUAGUGUUGAAAAAUGUAUUAACUGAAAUGGAAUACAAACAUUAUAUGUUGUAUUUUUGUGCAAUAAGAGCAUUUUCUUCGGAAAUUUACAAACAUUUUUGGCCAGAAGCGGACCGGCUUCUCAAACAGUUUGUUGUAGAGCAUGGUGUCAUUUACGGUGAACACCGUUUGACUAGCAAUGUACAUAGUUUGGUACAUGUUUUCGAAGAUGUGGACAAAUUUGGAGUUCUUAAAAAUAUGUCAUCUUAUCGUUUUGAAGGUACAUUAUUUCAUGUUAAAAAUUCACUUCGAAACGGUCAUCAGGUUUUGGUUCAGGCUGCAAAUAGAAUAUCGGAACAAUCUUCGAAAUCUCGAACGGCAAGAAAUAACUCAUACCCUUAUUUGGAACACAUAAAAAAAGGAGUAGUACUGCAUGUAAAUUAUAAUACCACAUUUUAUCCAACUUCUCAGGCAAAUUGGUUUCUAACAAAAGAUAAUUACAUUGUUCAAUAUUGUAGGGCAACACAAGUAGGAUCUGUUAUUAACAUUUACGGGAAGGCAUUUGAUAAAAUAAUUAGUCCAGAUAAAUACUGUUCUUCGCCAUUGAUGGAAGACAUUUAUGAAGCUGAAGUGAACGAUCUUUCUACACAAGAGAUGGUAUUUUUGAUAGAAGAUAUAAAGUGUAAAUUAGUUGCAAUUAAAACUGAUGAUAGUAAUUAUGUAUUUGUACCUCUUAUAGACACAUUAAUGAAGUGAAAAUAAAUAAUAAAAUUUGACUUAACCUAAAAGGAUGUUUACCUUUACCUUUUAUAAGGUUGGCCGUUAUAUUGUUUAUAAGAAUUUAAAUGUAAUGUUUAAAUGUAAAUGUAUGUUAAUGUAAUGUAUGUAUUUUUGUAUAUUUGGUUUGAGUUCUUGGUUAAUUAUGAAUUGGUAAAGUGUUUUACAAUCUUUCAUUUCAUUUUCAAGAUAUUACGUUGGUGUUUCACCAUUUCAGGAUUUAGAAAUUGUUUUUCUAUCAGACGCAAGGACUGCUUCGAAGUUUAUUAAAGAAUAGAUAAAAGCUGUAAUAUAGUAUCAAUAGUACAUUACAAUAAAUAAAAAUGGAAAAGCAAUAUUUUUAUCAAUAAAUAAUAUGUAAUAUAUAAACGGCGAUACGGUAACGGCAACUAUGAAUAGGUAGAGCAAUUUAAUUAAAUAAAUAUAUUUUUAUUUCUUCCUUCUAUGGCAGCUUGUUUUAACAUUUCCCUGCAUGUUUACUCUUGCCGGUGCAUGCGUCAGUUUUCUUUUUAAAUAUUCUUUAACAUAUUCUAUAUCUACUUCUAUUCCUACGUGGUUUGUGGCGAUAGACUUAAAUAAGCGCACUGUAUUUCGGUUUUUAUUAACAGCUAUUUUUUUUCCUGACGAUCCUUCCCAGCUACACCGUGCAAGACAAUUCCUAUCAAACAACACGUCUAAAGCCUCAUGCAUCCUGUUGUUGGCAUCCUGGCUGCUGAUAUCUGCAUCUAUCCUUUGAGUAUAACUGCAAAAUGCAAAAUCAUCUUCAGCUAUUUUUGCUUCAAAAGCAUCAAACUGUUGUUCAUUUCCGAUUUUUUCCAUGGCUAAACUCUGCGUAUUUCUUCUUAUACCCUUCAUAGGAUUCAGUAUUGUGGACUGCUCAUUUAAAAUCACCAAUAUCUGAGCGCUGCGUGCAUCAAUUUUCAUUAACAUCAUCCGACAAAGAGGGCAGCAGCUUCCAGAAUGCUCUGUUGAAGUAAUUGAAAGGACUGUUUGCUUUGCUCCUGCUGCAGUCUGGUGUUCAUCGUCGGUGAUCAUCAUUAUUGGCGACGAAGGCAGCACAGGCAAAUUUAUCACAACACUACCAGUUGCUCGUUUAGUCUUUAUGUUCGAUGUACCGGUGCUUGUCGAUGGAUCUUGGUUUCCACCAUUAACUAUCUUGCCUGGCCGUCGGAUCUGGCUAGGAACACCGGUAAAAGAUUGCUCAGAUAUAGCAGUACUCGUUGAUGGAUUUUGAACAUUAACGCUGAUCAUUUUGGCUGGUGUACGGUUCACAACACAAACAGAUCCUCCAGCAGUCGCUAUCACCGAUGCAGAAGCACUGGUGGGUAAUUGUUGU